rnacentral:rRNA from 1 species
AUGGGCGCAGCCUGAUGCAGCGACGCCGCGUGCGGGAUGACGGCCUUCNGGUUGUAAACCGCUUUUGAUCGGGAGCAAGCCUUCGGGUGAGUGUACCUUUCGAAUAAGCACCGGCUAACUACGUGCCAGCAGCCGCGGUAAUACGUAGGGUGCAAGCGUUAUCCGGAAUUAUUGGGCGUAAAGGGCUCGUAGGCGGUUCGUCGCGUCCGGUGUGAAAGUCCAUCGCUUAACGGUGGAUCUGCGCCGGGUACGGGCGGGCUGGAGUGCGGUAGGGGAGACUGGAAUUCCCGGUGUAACGGUGGAAUGUGUAGAUAUCGGGAAGAACACCAAUGGCGAAGGCAGGUCUCUGGGCCGUUACUGACGCUGAGGAGCGAAAGCGUGGGGAGCGAACAGGAUUAGAUACCCUGGUAGUCCAAGGGCGAAUUC